rnacentral:rRNA from 1 species
GACGAACCGAGCAAACGUUAUUCGGAAUCACUGGGCUUAAAGGGCGCGUAGGCGGGCAUUCAAGUCCGUGGUGAAAUCCGGCAGCUCAACUGUCGAACUGCCGCGGAUACUGGGUGUCUCGAGGGAGGUAGGGGCGUGCGGAACUAUUGGUGGAGCGGUGAAAUGCGUUGAUAUCAAUAGGAACUCCGGUGGCGAAGGCGGCACGCUGGACCUCUUCUGACGCUGAGGUGCGAAAGCCAGGGGAGCAAACGGG